GAUGAACGCUGGCGGCGUGCCUAAUACAUGCAAGUCGAGCGAACGGACGAGAAGCUUGCUUUUCUGAUGUUAGCGGCGGACGGGUGAGUAACACGUGGAUAACCUACCUAUAAGACUGGGAUAACUUCGGGAAACCGGAGCUAAUACCGGAUAAUAUUUUGAACCGCAUGGUUCAAAAGUGAAAGACGGUCUUGCUGUCACUUAUAGAUGGAUCCGCGCUGCAUUAGCUAGUUGGUAAGGUAACGGCUUACCAAGGCAACGAUGCAUAGCCGACCUGAGAGGGUGAUCGGCCACACUGGAACUGAGACACGGUCCAGACUCCGACGGGAGGCAGCAGUAGGGAAUCUUCCGCAAGGGGCGAAAGCCUGACGGAGCAACGCCGCGUGAGUGAUGAAGGUCUUCGGAUCGUAAAACUCUGUUAUUAGGGAAGAACAUAUGUGUAAGUAACUGUGCACAUCUUGACGGUACCUAAUCAGAAAGCCACGGCUAACUACGUG
rnacentral:rRNA from 1 species